AACUUCAAUUUUAAUCUGGAUAACGCCAAAGCUUUUCCUCAAAUUCACCCCUGGAGUCAGCUCAUAGAUGCUCUGAUUUUGUCUACCAUUGCUCCUCCUUAAUAUCUCUCGCACAGGUGCCAUUGACCUUUAGAUGGGCUGUACGGUGUGGGGUUCGGUGCCAUGGAUCUGCUUCUCCAGGGACCAGGAUCUUGAGAUCUUCAGGCUGGGUUUCCAUGGAGGCAUGGAGCUGCUUUUCCUCCUUCAUAACUGCACUCAAAACAGCCCUGUUGCUCUAGAAUGGAGACUUGGGCAACUCCUUCUGGCACAGAUUUGUUCACCUCAGGUGAAAUUCAGAUAGAAGCAAGCUGCAGGCAGUUUCACCUCUAAGUCCAUGGGUUCUCAACUGGUAACGUCCUCUUAUGGAUGUUAGCCCAUGAGGUCAAUCCUGUAGCAAUCUAAGGCUUGAGAAAAAUUAAUCUUCUGGAAAAUUCCAAGAAUACAUCUUAGGGAAACUGGCUCUACCUUUAUGACUUGGAUCACACAAGGAUAUGCUUUUCAUCUUGGACUAGAACUGAGAGCCAAUGGAUGUGUUAUCUAAAACUAUCCCAGUGUGUUCACUAUACAGAGGAAGAUUCUGAGAUUCAAGACUCAAGACUGAAGAAGAUCAUUAUUUUUAUUAUUUUAGUCUUAUGCACAAAAUGAUAUCUACUGAAUAAGCAGGUUUUUAAUAGGUGACUUAUAUAUGUUAGCAAAAAUAAACACUUUGUCUUUUAGAUCUAUUCUAGUUUUUCAGUAGCUGUAGACUUAAGUGCUAACUUUUAGCCCAUAGGAUAAGAAGAAACCAAGUCCUAAAAGUAGGCCAGCACCAGGGUUCAGGCCUCUGACUUCAAGCCAAGGGCUCAUCAUCUUGAAUUGCGCACGAAUUUUUACACAGCGCCAAAGGAAACUGCCUGUACUUACUGUUGUAGGUGCUUUGCUGGAUUCAGGAUGCAGACAAGGUCCACGCAUUGUGGUUGGAACAAUGACUAGAUCUUUACCUGGUCCACAGCCCUCCCCAGUCUGGCUGCAACCUCUCAUGAGGCUGAGCUCACCAUGAACCCCUGCUCUAGGCGUCUGCAUAGUGUUCUGUUUGUCCCCGUGACUGUCCACCUCUUCUUUGGCCUGUUGGCAUGCGCUUAUCCUCCAGACCUCAGUCCAAAGCACAGCUUUGACAUCACAUAGGCACCAUUUGGUGGUCUUCACAAGUCACUGGGCUUUGAUAAACACCCUUCACCAUAAGGAAAAUGAGUCGGAUGACUUAAGGAUCACCCCAAAUCAGGCAUAAAAUCUGGAUUCUUCUGGUCGCAGGCCAGCAGGUCUUGGUGCCUUCGGAUCCUUAGAGUGUCCUAAUUUGGCUACAGUUUUCUGUCUGCAGAAAGGCUCCCAAAGGGAAGACGCCAGGCUGGAACGAGAGUGACUCAUCCCGGGCCCUCAUUGUGCCUGAUUCACCCAGAGGAAGCUUUGUGUGGACACAGCUACCCUCUGGAGAUAUUUCAGGCCUUUGGGAACAGAGUAGGGUUCCUGCCUUUGUAACGAGCAAGUUCUUGGCUCCCUUCCGCCCUGUUUGCCACCUUCCCUCUAUUUCUGUGGUUUCCUUAUUUGCCAGUUCCUGGGCCUGGUGGACCCCACCACGACUUCUUUUUGUGAGUCCGUUCUGUCCUGCAUCCCUACCACAGCUGUACCUGGCCCCAGACUCCCUCCUCCUAGCUGGCGGGCGGGUGGGCAGGGUUCCUCCCCUAACCCAUCAGGGCCUCAUCUCUGGAGGCAAUUACUGCCUGGCCUGUGAAAAUAUAUAAGGAGACUUGAAGAGGUAUCAUGUUACAUCCUUCAUAUUUUGCCAGCAAUAAAUCUAGCUCUUUCCUCUUGGGUGGACUCUCAACUCUAAAUUAAGAGUCUAUUUCUAAGGAGGAAGAUUUCAUAGGCCCCGAGGUUCUGUAUGGCCUGCUCACAUUUCAAGGGUUGACCUAAAAGCUGGAGGCUUUCAGAAUCGCAGGAAGUCAUGCCCAGAGAUCUGUGGCUUUAGGAUCCAUGUCCCACUCACAGCCCUCCUGCUUCUCCUGUACUUCCCGCCAGCUCGGACCUCAGGACCUCUCUGGUUUCCACCCUGUGCUCUGGCCUUGGCUGUCCGACCUCACCCAAGCCUGGAUUCUGCUUUUCUCUUCAAAUCUUCCAUAAUCUUUCCUGGGAACACAUCGCAGGCCUAGCAGGGCUUGCUGAGGGAGCAGCUUCCUCGGCUGCCUUGAAAUCUGCAUUUUUAUCUCUUCCUGGUGAGUCUUAUGCCCAGUAAGAUUCAAAAAUGUUUUUCUACAUGCUAAGUUUUGGGGAUCUGAGCUCCAUUCCCCAAAGCCCUGGCUUUAGCUUGCUUCUUAUUUCAAACUCUAUCCUUGUGGGUGGUUCCCCAUUACCUAUCUGCAAAAUAGUCCUAAAUGCAGCCUGGGAGUAGCCCACCUCUGCCCCUCUGCCACAAGCCUCCUCCCAGGUAGCCCUGCUGGCCUGGCCUGGAGAGUCCU
rnacentral:lncRNA from 1 species